rnacentral:rRNA from 2 species
AGAACGACUCUCGGUAACGGAUAUCUCGGCUCUCGCAUCGAUGAAGAACGUAGCGAAAUGCGAUACUUGGUGUGAAUUGCAGAAUCCCGUGAACCAUCGAGUCUUUGAACGCAAGUUGCGCCCGAAGCCUUCUGGCCGAGGGCACGUCUGUCUGGGCGUCACGC